rnacentral:ncRNA from 1 species
GGUCAAGCGAAUAAGCGCACACGGUGGAUGCCUUGGCGGUCAGAGGCGAUGAAGGACGUGGCAGCCUGCGAAAAGUGUCGGGGGAGCUGGCAACAAGCUUUGAUCCCGCAAUGUCCGAAUGGGGAAACCCACUGCUUCGGCAGUAUCCUGCAGUGAAUACAUAGCUGCUGGAAGCGAACCCGGUGAACUGAAAUAUCUAAGUAACCGGAGGAAAAGAAAUCAACAGAGAUUCCCUGAGUAGCGACGAGCGAACGGGGACUAGCCCAAAAGUCGAUCAGUUUCUAACAAAACAGUCUGGAAAGACUGGCCAUAGAAGGUGAUAGCCCUGUAUGUGAAAGGGGCUGGUCGAUGAAAUUGAGUAGGGCGGGGCACGUGAAACCCUGUCUGAACAUGGGGGGACCAUCCUCCAAGGCUAAAUACUAC